CUUAAGACCACAACCGCAAGAGGUUCUUGGAUGUCUGGGCUCAAUAUGGAGUAUGUUUGCCUUCACACUGUGCUCUCCCUCAACGAUAGCAACUGGGAGGUGACUGGCAUAAACUGCAACAGGUUACAUCCACAGGACUCCCUAGCCAUUCCCCCUCCACCCCUCCAUCACCCCCCACCCCCGUUAAUUAACAAGGCACCCUU